CAUACCCUGUUGCUUCGGCGGGCCCACUGGGCUUCGGUCCGGUCGCCGGGGGGCCUCUGUGCCCUCGGGUCCGCGCCCGCCGAUGCGCCUCAUGAACCCUGAUGAAUAUGGGCUGUCUGAGUUAUAAAUGAAAAUUGUCAAAACUUUCAACAAUGGAUCUCUUGGUUCCGGCAUCGAUGAAGAACGCAGCGAAAUGCGAUAAGUAAUGUGAAUUGCAGAAUUCCGUGAAUCAUCGAAUCUUUGAACGCACAUUGCGCCCCCUGGCAUUCCGGGGGGCAUGCCUGUCCGAGCGUCAUUUCUGCCCUCAAGCACGGCUUGUGUGUUGGGUGUGGUCCCCUCCCUGGCGGGGGGACCUGCCCGAAAGGCAGCGGCGACGUCGCGUCCGGUCCUCGAGCGUAUGGGGCUUUGUCACUCGCUCGGGAAGGACCUGCGCACGUCUGUCACAACUGUAUUUUUUACCACGGUUGACCUCGGAUCAA
rnacentral:sRNA from 1 species